rnacentral:rRNA from 1 species
GUGUCAGCAGCCGCGGUAAUACGGAGGGUGCAAGCAUUAAUCGGAUUUAUUGGGCGUACAGGGCGCGUAGGCGGGGAAGAAAGUCAGAUGUGAAAUCCCGGGGCUCAACCCCGGAACAGCAUUUGAAACUUCUUUUCUUGAGGAUAGGCGGGGAAAACGGAAUUCCACAUGUAGCGGUGAAAUGCGUAGAUAUGUGGAGGAACACCGGUGGCGAAGGCGGUUUUCUAGCUUAUUCCUGACGCUGAGGCGCGAAAGCAAGGGGAUCAAACAGGAUUAGAUACCCCUGUAGUCC